rnacentral:rRNA from 1 species
AACGAACGCUGGCGGCAUGCCUAACACAUGCAAGUCGAACGAAGCCUUCGGGCUUAGUGGCGCACGGGUGCGUAACGCGUGGGAAUCUGCCCCUUGCUUCAGAAUAACAGUUAGAAAUGACUGCUAAUACCGGAUGAAGUCUUCGGACCAAAGAUUUAUCGGCAAGGGAUGAGCCCGCGUAGGAUUAGGUAGUUGGUGGGUAAAGGCCUACCAAGCCGACGAUCCUUAGCUGGUCUGAGAGGAUGAUCAGCCACACUGGGACUGAGACACGGCCCAGACUCCUACGGGAGGCAGCAGUGGGGAAUAUUGGACAAUGGACGCAAGUCUGAUCCAGCAAUGCCGCGUGAGUGAUGAAGGCCUUAGGGUUGUAAAGCUCUUUUACCAGGGAUGAUAAUGACAGUACCUGGAGAAUAAGCUCCGGCUAACUCCGUG